CGGAAGCGUUCAGACUUUUCUUUAUGGCGUCACCGAGUACCUGCCUGUAGGAAGGCUCCAGUUGCGUGACGUCACGCCGCAGUGACCAAUGAACGGCCCGAGCCGGCAGGCCCCGAGGAGGGUUGUGGGCCCUUCUUUUUGUGAAUGAAGCUCCACGGAACAUCCCUCCUGGGGGUCCCCGGGAGCCGCGGCCCGCUGAGCUCGGACGCCCCGGCAGCAGCGUCCCAGGGAGCGCGCGCUUUGCUCCAGCCACCGGCCAGCGCUGUGGGGCCCCUGGGACGCGGGCAGCGGGAGACGCAGCGCGAGGACCCGGGCCGGGUUGCCGGGCCAUGGUCGCGGUCCCCUGACGGGCCGCGGCCGCCUCCAUGAAGCGUAAGAGCGAGCGGCGCUCGGCUUGGGCCACCGCGCCCCCCUGCUCACGCCGCAGCUCGUCCUCCUCUCCCGGUGUGAAGAAGAGCCGCAGCUCCACGCCGCAGGAGCUGCACCGCCUGGAGCAGCAGGACGACCUGUACCUGGACAUCACGGAUCGCCUUUGUUUUGCCAUUCUCUACAGCAGACCAAAGAGUGCAUCAAACGAGCAUUAUUUCAGCAUAGAUAACGAGCUAGAGUAUGAGAACUUCUAUGCGGAUUUUGGACCACUCAAUCUGGCCAUGGUUUACAGAUAUUGUUGCAAGAUAAAUAAGAAGCUCAAGUCCAUUACAAUGCUGAGGAAGAAAAUUAUCCAUUUUACCGGCACUGAUCAGAGAAAGCAAGCGAAUGCCGCCUUCCUUAUCGGGUGUUAUAUGGUUAUAUAUUUGGGGAGGGCACCAGAAGACGCGUAUAGAACAUUAAUCUUCGGGGAUACAGCCUAUAUUCCUUUCAGAGAUGCUGCCUAUGGAAGCUGCAGUUUCUACAUUACACUUCUCGACUGUUUUCAUGCAGUAAAAAAGGCAAUCCAGUAUGGCUUCCUUAAUUUCAACUCAUUUAACCUCGAUGAAUAUGAACACUAUGAAAAAGCAGAAAAUGGAGAUUUCAACUGGAUAAUACCAGAGCGGUUUCUUGCCUUCUGUGGGCCACACUCAAGAUCCAGGCUGGAAAGUGGUUACCACCAACAUUCUCCUGAGACUUAUAUUCCAUAUUUUAAGAAUCACAAUGUAACUACCAUUAUCCGUCUGAAUAAAAGGAUGUAUGAUGCUAAGCGCUUUACGGAUGCUGGAUUCGAUCACCAUGAUCUUUUCUUUCCGGAUGGCAGCACCCCUGCUGAGGCAAUUGUCCAAGAAUUUCUGGAUAUUUGUGAAAAUGUCGAGGGUGCCAUUGCGGUGCAUUGCAAAGCUGGCCUUGGUCGAACAGGCACACUGAUAGGCUGCUACCUCAUGAAACAUUACAGGAUGACAGCAGCCGAGAGCAUUGCCUGGCUCAGGAUCUGUAGGCCCGGCUCAGUGAUUGGGCCCCAGCAACAGUUUCUGGUCAUGAAGCAAUCGAGCCUCUGGCUGGAAGGCGACUAUUUCCGUCAAAAGUUGAGAGGGCAGGAGAACGGAGCCCUCAGAGAAGCCUUCUCCAAACACCUUUCAGAUGUUGAUGACAUUUCGAUAAAUGGGCUUGAGAAUCAAGACAGUCAAGAGCCUGAGCCGUAUAGUGAUGAUGAUGAAGUCAGUGGAGUGACACAAGGAGACAGACUUCGGGCCCUGAAAAGCCGGAGACAGCCGAAAACCAACGCUAUCCCCCUCACAUGUCCCCUAGCUGUGCUGACCUCUGCACUGUGUAGUGUUGCCAUCUGGUGGAUUGUGUGUGACUACAUUCUUCCCACCCUGCUGUUCUGUCUUGAUGGCUUCAGAGCACAGUAGCCAUCUGGACACUUUGACAGAUAGUUUGCUGUCCUGGCUCCUUGGAGGGAGAGGAGGAGGAGGAGUGCUUUGCAGCACAUGCCCAUGCUGGCCUUAUGUCCAGCCAUUUCAAGGACUAAGACAGUCUUACGUUAAAGUAAAAAACCGGUGAACAGCACUCCAGGGAAGACUAGGAACAGAAAACCCCAAAGGAUUUAGCCAAUCGAUCUGAGAACAAAGCAGACUGUGCAAUGGCCUUAGCUUCUUUCCACAUAAGAAGUUCAUUCAAGGAGGAAAAUGUCACUGGCCUGUCAUCCACUCACUGACUCUGGGGUGUGGUUGAACCAUUUGAAGGCCUGACUCUCCCUUUCAUAAUCUCAAGUCGGACAAAAGCUGCUGUUGUGAAUUUAGUCUCAGGUGUCGAUACCCUGUCCUCUGCCACCAGAGAGCUGUCUGGUGAGUGUGGUACAUGUGUGUCCCUGUGAUGGCAAUCAUGUUUGCUGCUGGCCUCCAGAAGAGUGGGGGAUCUGGUGGAGAUCUCUUGGGUAUUUAUUUCUGUUCGGCCUGUGGCCCCGACUUACAGUUUAUAAAGAUGUAAGAGAUGAACCCCCCAGUGGUACCCUCCGUCUUAAGGUGUGAUUUGGUACGGUCAGCUUCACUUUACUCUCGUUAACGCUGUUGUGAUGUUCGUUCACUGCGUGAAGUACCCAAGCUGCUUGUCUUUCACCAAAGAGUGCUUUAUUAACAAUCUGUGAAUACUGCAUUUAAACACUGUUGUAUGUUGUCGUGGUUACCAAAAACCUGCUAGAAAAUGUUGAUGAGAGCAUUGGAACCCUUUCUCAGUCAAAUGGUUCCUACAAAUCCUUCCUUGUGUCAUUUAGAAGAUUUCAGAGCUGAGAUGUUGUUGGGUUGCUCAGUCACAUGUUUUUUGUGGUUUUUUUUUUCAUUUUUUUUUUCUUUUUUUUUUUUUUUUUUUUUCGGAGCUGGGGAUCGAACCCAGGGCCUUGCGCUUGCUAGGCAAGCGCUCUACCACUGAGCCAAAUCCCCAACCCCGCUCAGUCACAUGUUAUAAUUGUGUUUACUCCAUUACAUUAAAACCAAACAUCAACCCUAGCAUUUUUUCUGGAAAAGCAUCGUAAAUAAUGUUGACUUUAAAAACAAAAUUGUGAGCCUUGAGGUAGUGGUGCUUGCCUUUAAUCCCAGCAUUGGGAGGCAGAGGCAGGUGCAUGUCUGAGUUCAAGGCCAGCCAAUGAUACAUAAGGAAGUCUCAGAGACAACAAAACAAAAACCAACCCCCACAUCCCAAAACUGUUAAGUCCUUGUAGAGUCUUUCUCUGUAAUGCUGCGGAAUUUCUUUCCUUGUGAUUCACAGUUUGAUUUUAGUGACAAUCACUUGCUUCUGGAGUUAGGCUGUUUAUGUAAGAGAACUCACUGUUGCCUUUGGUUAGGGAAUAUGACUAGAAACUGUAGCGUGCCUUUUCUCUUCAUCCUGCUGGAACCCAGCAGCACCCGUGCCAUGAAGCAAUUGCAAAACCAGAAUUUAUCUGUUGCCAAAAAACAACAACAAAAAGACCAAAAAAGGCAGAGACCAUAAUUAGAAAAUACUUUAUAGUUGUCUUGGUUACUUCCACAAUUGAGGCUAGUGGUUUUUGACUCUCCCAGUUUAGAAACUGGAGAAAUGCAAUAUUGAAAGCCAUUGACAGCCAUUGCCUUCCUCAGACAGAUGAAUGUGUCAGGUGAGCAGGCUAUCUCACUUGAAAAGCUGCCUUUCUUGUAGUUGGUAUCGACAGGUUUAAAGUUUAGUUAUUGUAAAAAUAUUUAAAGGCCAUGGGUUCCCCCUUUCAGUGUUUCUAUCCUCAAACUGCAUUGGCUGGCCUUGGGUCGGAGACCUGAGGAUUCAAUGUAAACCCACACAAAGAGCCCCUCCCUAGAUAGCACAUAGCUUUCAAACAGUGGAGAAAGACAGUUAAGGUAGGGUUUGUUAUUCCUGGAUAUGAAUGAGUUUAAGCUCUAGCUAGGAGGACAAACAUUUCAUUUACCAAUAAUGCUAAAUCAAACUGCCCAAGUCUAAAAUAAAAGCUUCUCAGGUGGUUCUUCCUUCCCUGAACAAGCUAGGCCAGGUACUGAGCAGACAGAAGGAGACUUCCUUCCAUCUGAACUAAUCUGGAUUUGUUCUCAUGGAUCAGGAUGAGUGAACAGGGCCUGCCCAUGAUGGCCUUGUAGCCAGCAAAUUUGGGAGGAAACCACCUGGGCUUCAGAGAUGGCCACAGUGCUUUUUAAAAGGCACGGUACCUUUUUGUGUUGGCAGGUCCAUUCAGCUAGAACUCCUGCCACUGUGGCUCUUCCCUGUAUUUAACUCCCUUGCUGAAGUUACUUAGGAAACAUGAGUUGGUAAGGACAUUCCCAGGAAAACUACUUAAUGUUGUCUGGGGAGGACGGCAUAGCAACUGACUGGUGACAUCCAGGACCCAGAAAGUCUUUGAUCAAACAAAUGAAAAGUCCUUCCUGUUGGGAAUUAGUGGACUACCUCUGCCCAAACUACAACUACCCAGAAACUUAAGGGUAGAAGAAGACCCUAUUGCUAUAGAGCAUGGAUCUAUAGAGUGGGUAUUGGAGGGGCCCCUUUAACUUAAGAACGUUAAAUACCUUUGUAAGUACAUCAAGUUAGAAAGUAUAUUUAUAGGUGACCUUGAUGCUUGUUGGGAGCCCACACCAUCCGGAGCCCAAGAGAGGAAUGUCUGCCAAGCUGGGCUUCAGGACUUUAGACAGAUUAAUACAGUUCUGAGGCCCAGCUACAACUCUUGCCUUGAGGCAAGAAGGAUGGAGCCUCAGCAGCCACAUUCAAGGUUGUAGUAUUUGUCUAAACUCUCAUGGCCACACGCUGUUCUUCCUCAUUAACUCCCCAGCUUUAACUCAACCCCCUAAACCUAGCCCUAUCCAUUGUCCUGCCCUGCCCCACUGCCCACCUCUCAGGGGUGGCUUCUACCUCUUGGCUUGGGCCCUGACAGGUCAUAGAGGCUCCCCAAGUGUUCUCAUGAGGCUCUGUGAGCAUAAUCAGGUCUGGUAGACCUUCCCAGCUUUCUGGGUAGUUUGUGCCUGGAAUUCCUCAGGCCUUCCCUUAGCUUGAAUAGCUGUCUGUGACAAGUGCGUAUGUGUUCUAGAAACAUCAGCUGCUUUUCCUCAUAUUUUUUUAAAAAUUCUUUCUUGCAUUUUGGAAAGCAGUUGGUCAGAAACCUUAAAACCUAUUUUUUUAGGGCGGUUGUAGGAGGUGGUUCUCUGUGAGUUUAAGGCCUACCUGGUCUUCAGAGUGAGUUCCAGUGUAGUUAGGGCUACACAGAGAAGCCCUGUCUCAAAACAGACAAUAAGAACUAUUUUAAGAUUUCAUGAUUUCUCUCCCGCUGAAGUGGCCUAGUGAGGAUAGCCACUGCUCUUGUAUUUCUCCGUAAAUCAGAGUGUUCCCCAUGUCGCUGAGUGGAAAUACUACAGGUAGUGUAAAGGAUUGCCUAUACUGUGUAAGAAAUUACCUCCUUGCUGAUCAGUAGAACUCACUGUGCAUAGACAUGUCUAUCAGUUACAGUACUGCAGUCCUACAUCCAUUGUUUGAAGACUCUAUUAUACACUCACGUACAGAUGAAGUGAAGUUUUAAAAUGUUACUGAUGACUCAGUAUUUGAUCAGCCAUUGUCUUGGUAUUUUAUUAAAUUGUAUAUUUCUAAUCAUAUUUUUUAAAGCUGAAAGAACUGGUUGGAUGUUUAUCUCUGAAGGUGUUUUUAAGAUAAAAGCGUCACUGUAGCCUGUAAACUUGGCACACAUGUAGUUUUUGAUACUUUUUGUUGCAUUUGAAAAAUCUUGUGUAUUGUAAAAUGGUUUUAUACAAAAUACUAAAUAGUAGAAAUUGUAUAAUUUACAAUCAUAUAAUUAAAAAUAUUAAACAGUC